rnacentral:lncRNA from 1 species
GCGGAAUUUACAAGCAUUUCAUAACACACCAGAGUUAUGUUCAUGCUGAAGCUCUCUCCAAACAUGGACCCUUGCCUUCUGUGGCCAUACUUUACAAUCUGUAAAGAAAGGACUUCUAUGCAACCUUCUUCAGCUGUUCUGCAGUGGCUAUUCGUGAAACUCUUCCCCAGCAGCAUCUCAGGUCGGCAGCAGUAAGUCACAUAAAUUAUA